UACUAAUUGUCGCUAGAAAAAUUCGGCUGUUUGAUUGUGGUCUGUUACGAAGUCUAUUGCUGUACCUCGUUUUGUAAGUCCCAAGUAAUACACGUAUUUUUAUUAGCAAUACCCUAGAUUUUCACAUGCAAUACGAGGAAUUCACAGCAUGUCUACAGUAACUGGUAAAGUAAAAUUCUUUAACGAAGCUAAAGGCUUCGGUUUCAUCGAGCAAGAACAAGGCGCAGACGUAUUUGUACAUUUCAGUGCAAUCCAGUCUGACGGCUUCAAAACUCUGGCUGAAGGCCAGCAAGUUCAGUUCACUAUCGCUCAAGGUCCUAAAGGCCCACAAGCAGAAAACGUAGUACCUAUGUAAUUACUGCAUAAGGUGCUCGCGUUAAGCGAACUCUUUAUCGAAAAAGCCGCUCACUGAGCGGCUUUUUUUU
rnacentral:sRNA from 1 species